AUGUAUCAUCGUGGCGAAAGCCCGAUUUUACAACCACCAAAAAAGCUAGGGGUAUAAUACCCAGGAAACAAAGUACGCACCUUGCCUCGGGCCCCCUACGCCCGGGAGAGGCC
rnacentral:misc_RNA from 1 species